rnacentral:rRNA from 1 species
GACGAACGCUGGCGGCGUGCUUAACACAUGCAAGUCGAACGGAAAGGCCCUGCUUUUGUGGGGUGCUCGAGUGGCGAACGGGUGAGUAACACGUGAGUAACCUGCCCUUGACUUUGGGAUAACUUCAGGAAACUGGGGCUAAUACCGGAUAGGAGCUCCUGCUGCAUGGGGGGGGUUGGAAAGUUUCGGCGGUUGGGGAUGGACUCGCGGCUUAUCAGCUUGUCGGUGGGGUAGUGGCUUACCAAGGCUUUGACGGGUAGCCGGCCUGAGAGGGUGACCGGCCACAUUGGGACUGAGAUACGGCCCAGACUCCUACGGGAGGCAGCAGUGGGGAAUAUUGCACAAUGGGCGGAAGCCUGAUGCAGCAACGCCGCGUGCGGGAUGACGGCCUUCGGGUUGUAAACCGCUUUCGCCUGUGACGAAGCGUGAGUGACGGUAAUGGGUAAAGAAGCACCGGCUAACUACGUG